rnacentral:misc_RNA from 1 species
AGAGGAAGGAGAAGUCGUAACAAGGUUUCCGUAGGUGAACCUGCGGAAGGAUCAUUGUCGAAACCUGCCCAGCAGAACGACCUGUGAACUCUUUAAAACACCGGAGGGUGCGUGCCUUGCGUGCGCUCCCCUCUCUUCUGCAUCAGGUGCGGUCUUGUGCUCGUGCUUGUUACAGAACAACCAACCCCGGGCGCAGUAUGCGCCAAGGAAAACUAACAAGAGAGCACGAUCUCAGGCCCCAUACAUGGUGUGCUUGGGACGCAGUGCAUUCUUUCACAUUAUCUAUAACGACUCUCGGCAACGGAUAUCUAGGCUCUCGCAUCGAUGAAGAACGCAGCA